AAAUGAACUAAACCUUAGUUCAAAAGCUUAGGUAUGCUUAAUGCAGACAACACAGUAGGUCCAGGUGGCAUGACUCCAGAGCCCACAUACAAUGAAGGACCUUGAAUCUAUCACCUCUCAAUCAAGAGUGGCAGCUGGUGAUAUAAAACUGGAGGUCAGGAAAGAAGUUAGAACUCUCUAAACAGACUUGGGAAUUAGCUGCGGAGAUGACAAGUGGAUCCAAGGUUGCUGAUGAGCUCCGGGAAUGAGAAGUAAAGAAGAAAAGAGGACCAAGGGCAAACCGUGAAAAAAUGCUAGUCAUAUUUUAAUAACUUAUGCAGUUGGUUUUGUAAUUUUAUAGAGAAAAGAGGCCAGGGUUGGUACAAGUUAAGGCCCGCCAGCCCUGACUGAUGCAGGCACCCAUCUUGAAAACAUGACAGUUCUCUAUAAGCUUGGAGUAAACCAUAUCAUUUCUGUCGUCGCUCUAACUCUGCAGGCUUCUCUCUAACUUCAUUGAAUCCCAGGAAUCAUCUACAUAGAUUUGGGAAUUCUCCUGGAGCUUUAAUUCUCUUGAUUGAUGGGUGGGUGAAAACCUACCUUACUCACUACAUCUAGUUGUUCCAUGUCCUACUCGUCUACAUAAAUAGAUUUAUUGCCACCUGGCCUGCCUCAUUUUCCUCUUUUUUUUCCCCCUAGAGGGAGCUUGUUGGUUCAGCUGACAGACGGCUGAACGUGGAAUCUGGAACACUUGGGUUCAAAUCUAACCUUAGACAUUUGCUAGCUCUACAACCCUAGAC
rnacentral:lncRNA from 1 species